CAGCCCAAAAUGGCAGUGGCGGUGGCUGGGGCUGCGGGGUCGGCAGCUCCUGUAGCAGCAGCCGGUAUCCCGGGCUCUGGGGGCUCAGUCGCCGGGUCGCGAGGUGCGCUGACUGGGGACCUGCUAUACUCCGGGGUGCUCAUCACCUUGGAAAACUGCCUCCUACCUGACGACAAGCUCCGCUUCACGCCGUCCAGGUCGAGCGGCCUCGACACAGACACGGAGACCGACCUCCGCAUGGUAGGCUGCAAGCUCAUCCAGGCGGCCGGCAUCCUGCUCCGUCUGCGUCAGGUGGCCAUGGACACCGAGCAGGUGUUGUUCCAGCGGUUCUAUACCAAGUCCUUCGUGAAGCAUUCCAUGGAGCAUGUGUCAAUAGCCUGGGUUCACCUGGCUUCCAAGAUAGAAGAGGCUCCGAGAGGCAUACGGGACGCCGUCAACGGGUUUCACCACCUUCGACAGCUGAGAGAGAAAAAGAAGCCUGUGCCUCUGCUACUGGAUCAAGAUUAUGUUAAUUUAAAGAACCAAAUUAUAAAGGCGGAAAGACGAGUUCUCAAAGAGUUGGGUUUCUGCGUCCAUGUGAAGCACCCUCACAAGAUAAUCGUUAUGUACCUUCAGGUGUUAGAGUGUGAGCGUAACCAACACCUGGCCCAGACCUCAUGGAAUUACAUGGACGACAGCCUUCGCACAGAUGUAUUCAUGCGGUUCCAGCCUCAGAGCAUUGCCUGUGCCUGCAUUUAUCUUGCUGCCCGGACAUUGGAGAUCUCUGCCCAAUCGUCCUCAUUGGUUUCUUUUGUUUGGAGCAACUGAAGAAGAACUUAGGGAAAUCUGCUUAAAGAUCUUGCAGCUUUAUGCUCGGAAAAAGGUUGAUCUCACACACCUGGAAGGUGAGGUGGAGAAGAGGAAGCACGCCAUGGAGGAGGCACAAGCCCAGGGCCUGCUGCCCGGGGGUACUCAGGUUCCCGAUGGCACCGCGCGCGGGCUUCUCACCGGCGUCCAAGCUGGCGGAAUCCCCCACAGAAGGUAAGGGGAACAAGCCUUCCCCACUCUCUGUGAAGAACAGCAAGAGGAGGGCAGAGGGCACCAAGAAGGCCAAGGCGGGCAGCCCCGUUAAUGGCUUGCCAAAGGGCGAGAGAGUCGAAGUCGGAGCCGGAGCUGUGAGCAGAACUACUCCAGGUAUCCAUCGAGAUCGGCUUCACCUAAGAGGAGGAAAAGUGACAGCGGCUCCACGUCUGGUGGGUCCAAGUCGCAGAGCGGCUCCCGGAGCCGGAGUGACUCCCCACCGAGACAGGCUCCCCGCAGCACCCCCUACAAAAGCUCUGAGAUUCGGACUGCAAGUAUCCCCCCCCAGAAACCACACAAGUCUCGGAGCGGGAGCCCGUCCUGUUCUCGAAGCAGGUCAAGGGAGCGGGUGGGUAAUCCGGGGAAAUACAAAAAGAAAAGUCAUUACUACAGAGACCAGCGACGGGAGCUCUCCAGGUCGUACCAACGCACCAGCUGUCGCUGCGAGCGGGACCACCCUGGGCACAGCAGGCAUCGGAGGUGA